AACAAACGCUGGCGGCAUGCCUAACACAUGCAAGUCGAACGAGACCUUCGGGUCUAGUGGCGCACGGGUGCGUAACGCGUGGGAACCUGCCCUUAGGUUCGGAAUAACUCCCCGAAAGGGGUGCUAAUACCGGAUAAUGUCUUCGGACCAAAGAUUUAUCGCCUUUGGAUGGGCCCGCGUUGGAUUAGCUAGUUGGUAGGGUAAAAGCCUACCAAGGCGACGAUCCAUAGCUGGUCUGAGAGGAUGAUCAGCCACACUGGGACUGAGACACGGCCCAGACUCCUCCGGGGGGAAGAGGGGGGAAAUAUUGAACAAGGGGCAAAGGCCUGAUCCAGCAGUGCCGUGGGAGUGUUAAGGCCGUAGGGGUGGAAAAGCUUUUUUCCCGGGGUGGAAAAGAACGGACCGGGGAAAAAAAGCCCCGGCUACCUCCGUC
rnacentral:rRNA from 1 species